UUUUUUUUUUUUUUUUUGUUUGAAAACUUAUGGGUUUGGGAUAACUCAUUCUUUGGGAGUCCACAUCCUUAGAGGAUUAGACUAAUUCAGGAGUCCGAUGUCUUGAAAGCUGUCCAAACAGUAAUGAUUGUAAUGGUAGUUAUUCAGUUUUUUCAGUCAAUAAAAAUCUUGCAAUUGUUGCUCAAUCCUAGGUAUGAUGCCUACGGAACCACGGAUUUCAUGCCUAAGGAACCACGGAUUUCAUGCCUAAGAAAGUUCAGGUUUGAAACCCAAACUCUUCUACCUGGCCUGCACUGCAAACAGCUCCCAAAUCCUUUUUCUUUCUUGUUUACUUUUGCUUCUUAAAGCUAUCCAAUUACAACCCCUAAUUGACCUCCUAAAUUUGUACUCAUACUAGCUUUCAAAUAAUUCCAAAAUAUAGUUCAAAUACUCACCUUGCAGCUGUCCUACAUCAAGAAAACCAACCAAAAUUAAAUAAUUCAUCACACUUUAGCCAGUGUUGAACCAUGCCCUUCUGUCUUCCAUAAUAUGGGUGAAUUGCAUUUCUCAUUUUAAAG
rnacentral:misc_RNA from 1 species